GGGUAACCUGCCCAUAAGACUGGGAUAACUCCGGGAAACCGGGGCUAAUACCGGAUAACAUUUUGAACUGCAUGGUUCGAAAUUGAAAGGCGGCUUCGGCUGUCACUUAUGGAUGGACCCGCGUCGCAUUAGCUAGUUGGUGAGGUAACGGCUCACCAAGGCAACGAUGCGUAGCCGACCUGAGAGGGUGAUCGGCCACACUGGGACUGAGACACGGCCCAGACUCCUACGGGAGGCAGCAGUGGUCAUAG
rnacentral:rRNA from 2 species